CGUCUCCUCUGGAAACGUCCAGAUCUCCACCGCCUCCGACCUCCACCGCUUCCCAAAAAAAACACAGCCUAAGCCCCAGUCUGUCUCUCCAUCGAUCCUCGCGUCAUGGCGUGUAUGCCGCGGCCUGCGUCGCCGUUCCCUCUCCCAGCAGGGUCCAUCGCCGUCAGGCCACCCGCCAGGCCGCCAUCUGCGGACCGCAUUGACGCCGUCGUCGAGGCGGUUGGAAGCGCGGAUGAGUUUAUUGGGAGGAGUUGAUUACAGCUAAUCCUCUAGAUUUUUCUGGAUGUGGUGCAGCCCAAGGCAGGGAGUUUAUUGGGACGAGCUGAUUCCGUCUAAUUUUCUAGAUUUUCCUGGACAUGAUGGAGCCUGCAGGAGGAGGUCAGCCUCAGCGGCUGCAAUUUGGAGCCCGGGCUACUGCCUGCGCGUUCGAGUCUUGCGUGCUGCCAGCUGCGGCGAUGACGUUGACGGUUCCAUUCUUCGCGCCCAAUAGAAGUAGCAGCAAGAUGGACAGGACCUCCAUCCUAGGGAAUACUACCGACUACAUGGAGCAGCUAGAGAUGCUCCGGCUUCCUGACCCCUGAUCCCGCCGGCUGGCUCGCCGUGUUCCCGUUUGAUGAUCAGAAGCCCCGCCGCCUACUCCGGAUUCGUGAGCUCAGAGGACCAUGGCUGCAGAGGAAAUCAUACUGGAGCGGCGCACACAUGGAGGGGGUCUGGCAGUGGCUGCCCACAGAGCCGGUACUCCAUGAGCGGCUGCUCCAUGCUAGGCCAUGGAUAUACCUUGAGAGUUGUUGUGCUGUGCUUGGUCGCCGCGGCUCGGCCAUGAGUCUAGAGGUGACCAAGCCAUCGAUUGGAUGGGGCAAAAUGCCCUUUCCCAAUCCCUUAUAGCAAAGGACACGAUAGGUUUUGCGGUCUCCCAAAAGAUCAUCUCUGCAGAGUCUCAACUACAUACCAAACUUAAAAGAUCCUAGAAGAUUCUCAACCAUCUGCUUGCUACCGUUCAGAUAACGUUUUCCUUUGCUUGAAGGUGAGCUGAUUCUAACUUUGACCUCAAGCUGCUCCCGCCCUUGAGAGGUGAAUUGUCAUUUCUAUAGGGUUCACAAGUAAUUUGUUCAACUAUAAUACAGUAGCCAGUGCAUGAGACAGAGAUAAGGCAUCACUGCAUCAGCUACAGUUUUUUUGUGCCGUACACACGAAUUAAAGGGCCAUGUUUCAAAGUAUUACUCCAGUGUUCAACUACGGGCUGAUUUCAAGAUGAUUUUUGCCUGCAACAGGACAGGUAAUGUACUAACUUCAGUAGCAGAGGGCUCAAAACUUUCCAAUUAAUUUUCCAAAUAACUUAUGUCAUGUUCUCCAGCUAACUCAGUGGAUUAUAGAACUUGCUAUUUUCAGGUCAAGCACUACGUUAGAUCUGUUAGAAAAUAGAGCACUGAUACGUCUCCGACGUAUCGAUAAUUUCUUAUGUUCCAUGCCACAUUAUUGAUGUUAUCUACAUGUUUUAUGCACACUUUAUGUCAUAUUCGUGCAUUUUCUGGAACUAACCUAUUAACAAGAUGCCGAAGUGCCGAUUCUUUGUUUCUGCUGUUUUUGGUUUCAGAAAUCCUAGUAACGAAAUAUUCUCGGAAUUGGACGAAAUCAACGCCCAGGGUCCUAUUUUGCCACGAAGCUUCCAGAAGUCCGAAGAGGAGACGAAGUGGGGCCACGAGGUGCCCAGACCCUAGGGCGGCGCGGCCCCCCCCCCUGGCCGCGCGGCCCUGUGGUGUGGGGCCCUCGUGCCGCCUCCUGACCUGCCCUUCCGCCUACUUAAAGCCUCCGUUGCGAAACCCCCAGUACCGAGAGCCACGAUACGGAAAACCUUCCAGAGACGCCGCCGUCGCCGAUCCCAUCUCGGGGGAUCCAGGAGAUCGCCUCCGGCACCCUGCCGGAGAGGGGAAUCAUCUCCCGGAGGACUCUACGCCGCCAUGGUCGCCUCCGGAGUGAUGUGUGAGUAGUCUACCCCUGGACUAUGGGUCCAUAGCAGUAGCUAGAUGGUUGUCUUCUCCCCAUUGUGCUUCAUUGUCGGAUCUUGUGACCUGCCUAACAUGAUCAAGAUCAUCUAUCUGUAAUUCUAUAUGUUGCGUUUGUUGGGAUCCGAUGAAUAGAGAAUACUUGUUAUGUUGA